rnacentral:lncRNA from 1 species
CUUCUGGAAUACUUAAUUAUGGUUAUAGAAUAGUAUGUUAUGUAAAUGUUCUCAGUGUUCACAUUGUGUGGUGAAAUGCCCUGUGUGGUGAAGGUGGUAGUAAUAUGAAGGAGUGGUCAAAGGAAGUGCUAAUGUUAUCUUAUGACAUGAAGAACCAAGAGACAUUAUUUUUAUUGGAUGGAUGUUGAAGUAAAACCAUAUGUUACUAUAAAUAACAAA